AGAGAAUCAAAGAAUUUCCAUCCAUGUCAAUACUGUAUGGUAAAGAAGCCACAUUUUUAUGUUGAUAGGCCUUUAAAAUACUUAAGCUUUAGCUGUUAGGAUAAAAACUGUUCACUUGUUUUUGGGGAAGUCUUUAAAAACCAUAUACAUUACAGCUCUUCAAAUAUAUAUCAUGACAUACAUUAUUAUUGCAGGACUAUUUCUUAAGAAUUUUCUAACUGCCACCUUCCACCCUAGAACUGAAAGAGUAACUCCAUCAUAAAGGGGACAGCUUCUGACAGUCUUGCCUCCACAUAGAAAUGACAAUCUCAUUAAUGAUGCUAAGUUUAUGUUGUAAAUAUAUUAUCACCACUCUCACACCAACUGCUUAUGUUAAAAAAUAAUUACUAAUUAGUUCCAGCAAGUGCAUUAUAAAAGGUUGCUAAUUUUAACUAUUUUUCUUCUCCCCAUUUUAGAAGAAAAAUGAGUGAUUCAGAGAAGGCAAUCUGUUACCUGGAGGAAUUUCGAAUUUUUAAAUGAUCAUUGAUCAGAGUUUUUAAGAAUCUCAUGAAAACGGUGGUUCAGAUAACAAGAAGGGAGUUGCAGCCUCCAGUUCCACCAAGUGGCCCAACAGCAACGUGAGAAACAUGGAGAAACCCCAAAUUCCUGGGAACACUCUGGAUGGGCAGAAAGUCAUCACCAAACUGAAAUCUGGGCACCACCUGAUGCAAACCAAUUAAAUUUCAUAGAAGUGGUGAGUGCUGAAGGAAAUAGAGUUAACUGGGAAAGAAAAACCAUGACACUUGCUUCUAAUCUUUCUGCUGUUCUAUCUAUUUCUCUCCUUUUUGUUUCCUCUUCCCAUUAAGACUUUCUCAUUUCUUAGAUGAGUAAUUAAACCCUGACCUCAGGUAUAAAUCUCAGAAGCACUUAUCAAUAAAAACAAACUCACCAACUAACCGGGGGCA
rnacentral:lncRNA from 1 species